GACGAACGCUGGCGGCGUGCUUAACACAUGCAAGUCGAGCGGUAAGGCCCUUUCGGGGGUACACGAGCGGCGAACGGGUGAGUAACACGUGGGUGACCUGCCCUCAGCUCUGGGAUAAGCCUGGGAAACCGGGUCUAAUACUGGAUAUGACUCCAUGACGCAUGUUGUGGGGUGGAAAGCCUUGUGCGGCUGAGGAUGGGCCCGCGGCCUAUCAGCUUGUUGGGGGGUGAUGGCCUACCAAGGCGACGACGGGUAGCCGGCCUGAGAGGGCGACCGGCCACACUGGGACUGAGACACGGCCCAGACUCCUACGGGAGGCAGCAGUGGGGAAUCUUGCGCAAUGGGCGAAAGCCUGACGCAGCGACGCCGCGUGAGGGAUGACGGCCUCGG
rnacentral:rRNA from 1 species